GCGACAAUCCGGAAAUGGGCGGAGCCCAGUCGCUGGGUUGGUUCCUGUGGCGCUAGGUGGGCUGGGAGAGAGAGGCUUGUGGGAGAUUGGGACAGAGAAUGGGAGAGGAAAGUGGAGUCAAACCAGUUCUACUCCAAGAUUGUAACCUAAGGAUUAUCCACAGAGGGUUUGACUUCCAUCUACCGAGGAUAUACCAGGA